GUUGGUAUGUAGGGUUUUCCUUUCCUUUUCUUUUUUUUUUUUUUUUUUUUGUAGGGUUUUUCAAUCCGGGCAGCAUUAUUGAUGUUUGGGGCCAGAUAAUCCUCUGCCGUGGGGCUGUCCUGGACAGGGUGGGACAGUUAGCAGCACCGCUGAUCUCCAUCUACUGGCAGGCCAGUGGCAACACCCCCAUUGUGACCACCACAGAUGUCUCCUGGGAGGCAAAACAGCCCCCCAACUUCAGUGGUUGAGAGCCACUGAAUUUGACAAUGAGGCUGGGAGGAGAGAUGGCAUUUGAUACUCUGGGUCAUCCUAGGUCCUGCACCACCUGGGAGCUCAUCAGACUUGCAGACCCCUCACCCCACCUGAAGUGGGAUGCUGGUUUUCACAAGAUCGCUGUGUGAAUGUUUGAGAAUAUGGCCAGGGCACCGGUGUGGUGUCCCCUGGAAGCAGUUUUAUUGAAACAGCAAUUCACCAUCUGCAUCCAGACAACAUGAGAUCAGAGCCAGAGGUCAGUGUGGAAGGGACGUGAUGGUGGGCGGUGUCGGAACCUCCCAGACAAGGACCCAAGGUGGCUGGGUUCCUUACAGGAGAGCUCCACCAGAUGACUGCAGCUCAAGUACUCCUGAAGUUCGGCCUUUGCUGCUGCGUAGAAUAAACCACAUCUCCAGCUGACACAGCAGCUUUACCGGUAAGAGAAAUCUGAGGACUCCUGGAGUUAAUUCAAGCAACUUCUCCAGAACAGCUACUUCUGCUUAUUUCAUCCGCAUACUUUUGAUUACGUUUUUAUUUUCCUUCCCUGCUCUCAAAAUGCAUUUUUCCUGCUUGCCAUUUAAUUGAUAAACUGCCAUUAAGUCCAAAUUUGAAAUUCUUAAAACCCACUAGGAAAGGUACACAAUAGCGUCUGCUGUUGUGGAGUUUCCUUGGCUCCACAAGUCUAGUGUCUCCCCAAUUUUACAUUUUAAGAUGUUUAGUUGUUUUUCCUAAAAAAGAAAAAAAAAUCAGUGGCAAGCGUUUUGUCUGUAAUCUUCUAAUAAGUUUGUGCAGGACAAAAAGCACACUUCAGUCCACCCAAGUAUCUGGUUUUCACUAAGAAGGAGAGGUUGGUGAGACUCGAUCGGUAUUGCUUAUGGAACAGGCUUUUUUUGGGGGGUGGGGAGCAGUGAUUUAUUCCCCGUGACAUCGCGUGGCCCUAAGCCAGAACUUAGAACUGA
rnacentral:lncRNA from 1 species